GACGAACGCUGGCGGCGUGCUUAACACAUGCAAGUCGAACGGAAAGGCCCUGCUUUUGUGGGGUGCUCGAGUGGCGAACGGGUGAGUAACACGUGAGUAACCUGCCCUUGACUUUGGGAUAACUUCAGGAAACUGGGGCUAAUACCGGAUAGGAGCUCCUGCUGCAUGGUGGGGGUUGGAAAGUUUCGGCGGUUGGGGAUGGACUCGCGGCUUAUCAGCUUGUUGGUGGGGUAGUGGCUUACCAAGGCUUUGACGGGUAGCCGGCCUGAGAGGGUGACCGGGCACAUUGGGACUGAGAUACGGACCAGACUCCUACGGGAGGCAGCAGUGGGGAAUAUUGCACAAUGGGCGGAAGCCUGAGGCAGCGGCGCCGCGUGCGGGAUGACGGCCUUCGGGUUGUAAACCGCUUUCGCCUGUGACGAAGCGUGAGUGACGGUAAUGGGUAAAGAAGCACCGGCUAACUACGUG
rnacentral:rRNA from 1 species